rnacentral:rRNA from 1 species
UACAGAGGCCCCGAGCGUUAAUCGGAAUUACUGGGCUUAAAGGGUGCGUAGGCGGACCAGAAAGUGCUUUGUGAAAGCCCCCGGCUCAACCGGGGAACUGCGGGGCAUACUGCUGGUCUUGAGGCAAGUAAGGGUUGCGAGAACUGUAGGUGGAGCGGUGAAAUGCGUAGAUAUCAGGAGGAACACCGGUGGCGAAGGCGGGUCUCUGGGCCGUAACUGACGCUGAGGAGCGAAAGCGUGGGGAGCGAACAGG